CUGUUCGAGCGUCAUUACAACCCUCAAGCGCUGCUUGAUGUUGGGCCUCAUCAAUCUGGUAGGCCUUAAAAUCAGUGAGCGGAUCCGUUUAGCUUCCAGCGUAGUAAUACCCUCGCUGUGGAUGCGAGAUGCGACACCGCCAGUAACCACUAAAUAUCAAGGUUGACCUCGGAUCAGGUAGGGAUACCCGCUGAACUUAA
rnacentral:misc_RNA from 1 species